GACACAUUACAUGGUUAUCAAUUAGUUUUAAUGCAUGAUAUGGGUACUUCCACGUCCCCACUCUUCCCCUAUAAGAGUCCUCAGCAGAUACUCAAACUCUACACCAAACCAAACUCCAGAUUUUCUUCACUAAAUUCUCUAUAGCCUCAUCGCAAAUUCCAUAAUCCCAGCUCCUUACCGGGAGCACCAACCACUCUUCUCUUCCUCAAUCAUUCUACAGAAAGAAAACUCCAUCAUAUUAUCUUCUAAUUCCCAGCAAACACACAACAAGCUGCACUCACAUGAAUAACAUUCUUUCUGCUAACUCAAACACAGCAGCAUCCCUUACUCGAUACCAUCAUCGCUACAGCAAAAACACUGCUUUAUAGCAAAAUCUUUGAAGAAGGUCCACUUGAGAGAAGGAAUUAGCUUUGCGUUUACAAGAAGAGAAUUGUACAUCUUUUAUCUACAAGCUUGUUCUAUCGAGGUUGAGCGGCAGGUGGUGACGUGCGAGGCUGAGGGAGGAUGUUGCUGUAGUUUCAUAUAAUAAUUUAUGCUGCCAUAAUAUUCACUAAGGUGGAUAUCUUUUGAGAUUGACUCUUUAAAUAUUCUUAGCCUAAUUAUUAUGAACUCUUUUGGCAAUCGCAUUUCUAGCAACUGAACCUCGCAUAUAUGUAUGUCUAGUAUGAAAUGUUAUCUUGUUGUCUCAGACCUCCGAACUUUUGAUCCUGGUUGGGAGAAUUUCUAUCUUAGUUGUCGUAAUUAUUAUCCUUCAAUUACGAAAUUCCUUUAUUAUGAAUGUGUCACCCAAAUCUAAGGACAUAUCACCUAUUUUAUCCGAGCAAAGUCUAGAAAUCCCAUUAAGUAGCACAUUUCCUAUUCUCCCGGGAACGAGGGCUGUCACAGGCGGCACUUCGCCGGGGAAGACGAGAGAUCGAGGGAGGCGGCGGCGCCUCGCCGUCGCCAAGGAGGAAGGCGGAGGCGGUGAUUCUCGCCGCUGCUUCGCCGUUUCUUUCGUGGGUAUUGGUGAGCUGAAUGGUGUGGUGCGACGAGGGAGAUGAAGGCGGGGUGAUCGGCGGCGGUCGCCGUCGGAGGAGAUUCGAGGGAGAGAGAGAGAGGCGGAUCUGGGUGGUGAGCAGAGAGAGAGAGAGAAAGCUGAGAGUGUGAGUGUGUGUGCGUGUUUGACUCUGAAAAAAAAAGGGGGAAAAAGGGAGUUUGAGGUUGGGCCGAUUUUAAUAAGUGUUUGGGCUUGUUUUUAUAUUUUAAUAGGGCCACGUCUUAUUUAUUUGAGGUGGGCUACGAAUUUUUUUAACAAAAGGGCUUCUCAUUUCAAUUGUGGGCUGAUUUAUAUUAUUAAGUUAGACCGAUUCUUUGAUUUAAGCUUGGGCCUGUUCUAUUUAUUUAUAAUGGGCUAAUAUGUUUUUAGUUAACUAGACUUUUAAUAGUUGAUUAAUUAUUAUUUUAAUGAAUAAUUUGCAUAAUAAUAUUAUAUUAUUAUUAUGUGCAUAUUUUAAGUUAUUACUUAUCAUAUGUUUAAAGCAUGACAUGUAUUGCAUUUACGUUUUGCAAUAAAAGCAUUUAUGAUUUAAUUGAUUUUAUUUAUAAUUCCAAUUAUUAAAGAAAAAUCAAGUAAGGAUAUUGUUGGUGUCCUUAGCUUAAGAAUUUGUUUUCGAUCUUCUUCAUUAAAUUUUGAAAACCCGGUGUGAUGAAUCAUAGAAUGUUAAGCACUUCACUAUGACUUAAGAUUAGAUUCAGGAGACCUAUUAAGAUAAUAGAUUUCUUGUAGGCUUUGUGGACCAAGGGAAUUAGCGUUGCUUUCACAAGACAGGUUUCCAUGUUUAUGAUCUUCAGGCUUUGCCUAAUCAGGUUGGCUGGCUGGUGCUGACGGGACUGAACUGAGGCUAGGGUUCAACUUCCUUUUAAGACUUCCGUUGUAGCAGUAAAUAAUAUCUUGUCUUUUGUUUUCUCAACUUAAGACUUUCAUAUCAAAUUUAGAAUGACAUCUCUGAUUGAGCCUAAACACUUAACUCCUAGUUUUAUGCUAAUGAAUACUGGUUAUCAGAAGCAUGAAACAAAACUUGUGAUCCAAAGGGGCCUAGCCCGACUUGUUACCUUCUAUUCGGUUUCAACAAGGAUUUUUCCUUGUGUUAUUUUCAUGAUUUAGUUGCACCUCGAUUGUUACCUUCUAUUCGGUUUCAACAAUGAUCAUGUUUUUGGAGCUAUCAGAGAUGUCCUCAUUGAAAAUUUCAAAAGAGGAGAAUCUUCUUCUGCUUCUAAUCAGAAGAUAUGAUGAGCAAGUUCAAGAGAGCAAUAAUAUUGCUUGUGGAAGAAAAAUUUGAAGAUAUUGAUCGAGAAAGACAUGAUAAUACCUUUAGAUAGUCUAUAAGGCAUGAUAAUACCAUUAGACUUUAGAUAGUCUAGAUAAGGUAUGAUAAUACCUUUAGAAAAUUUUUAUUUUCUAUUGAUGUAAAAAUUUUUAGUUUGACUUUUGUAAAAUAUUUAGUACUAUAAAUAAUUGUGUAUGGAUGAAGAGAAGGGCAUUCUCUUUCUCCCGUAGUUCUUCCUUUCUCUUUGUUUUCUUCAUUGUAAAAUAUUUGUGCUUGAAGUGGUGUAUCGCAAUAAAAGCUUCCAUUUUGUAA